rnacentral:rRNA from 1 species
UACGUAGGGUGCAAGCGUUAUCCGGAAUUAUUGGGCGUAAAGAGCUCGUAGGCGGUUUGUCGCGUCUGCUGUGAAAACUGGAGGCUCAACCUCCAGCCUGCAGUGGGUACGGGCAGACUAGAGUGCGGUAGGGGAGAUUGGAAUUCCUGGUGUAGCGGUGGAAUGCGCAGAUAUCAGGAGGAACACCAGCGGCGAAGGCGGCGCUCUGGGCCGGAACUGACGCUGAGGAGCGAAAGCGUGGGUAGCAAACAGG